rnacentral:rRNA from 1 species
CCUGACUGCUAUCGGAUUGAUACUAAGCCAUGCGAGUCAUUGUAGCAAUACAAGGCAGACGGCUCAGUAACGCGUAGUCAACCUACCCUAUGGACGGGAAUAACCUCGGGAAACUGAGAAUAAUGCCCGAUAGAACAUUAUGCCUGGAAUGGUUUAUGUUCCAAAUGAUUUAUCGCCAUAGGAUGGGACUGCGGCCUAUCAGUUUGUUGGUGAGGUAAUGGCCCACCAAGACUAUUACAGGUACGGGCUCUGAGAGGAGUGGCCCGGAGAUGGGUACUGAGACACGGACCCAGGCCCUAUGGGGCGCAGCAGGCGAGAAAACUUUGCAAUGUGCGAAAGCACGACAAGGUUAAUCCGAGUGGUUUCUGCUAAAGGAACCUUUUGUCAGUCCUAGAAACACUGGCGAAUAAGGGGUGGGCAAGUUCUGGUGUCAGCCGCCGCGGUAAAACCAGCACCUCAAGUGGUCAGGAUGAUUAUUGGGCCUAAAGCAUCCGUAGCCUGCUUUGUCAGUUUUCGGUUAAAUCCAUACGCUCAACGUAUGGGCUGCCGGGAAUACUGCAAAGCUAGGGAGUGGGAGAGGUAGACGGUACUCGGUAGGAAGGGGUAAAAUCCUUUGAUCUAUUGAUGACCACCUGUGGCGAAGGCGGUCUACCAGAACACGUCCGACGGUGAGGGAUGAAAGCUGGGGGAGCAAACCGGAUUAGAUACCCGGGUAGUCCCAGCUGUAAACUAUGCAAACUCAGUGAUGCAUUGGCUUGAUGCCAAUGCAGUGCUGCAGGGAAGCCGUUAAGUUUGCCGCCUGGGAAGUACGUACGCAAGUAUGAAACUUAAAGGAAUUGGCGGGGGAGCACCACAAGGGGUGAAGCCUGCGGUUC